AAAUUGUAUACAUACAUAUACACACACAUUAUAAAUAUUCUGUUUGUGCUGUACAAAAAUGUGUUUUCGGUUUUUUUCAUGCUAAUGAAUAUUUUAAGCAAAAAUGGACUAGUAAAUUCUUUAGAAAUAUUUUUCUGUAAAGAAGAAAAAUGUAAAAAUUGGUUUUUCAUGUUUUUGUUUUAAUUGUAUUGACUGGGGGUAGAAACCUGUAACGGAUGUGAAAUGCUUUUUCUUCAAAGAGUUAUCGAAUUACCAAUCUUACCAAUAAUAGUAGAAAUAAGCUCCUUUAGAGUAAAAAAAACUUGUGUUGGAAUCUUUGUCGAUUCUUUUUUAAAAAAUUGUGUAUCAAAAAUGUAAAUUGGGCUUACAGUUACUUCUAAUACAGCAUGGAAUUGACUCUGGGGGAGUGGUAUUAUAUAUAAAAUGCCAGUGGCAUGUUGUCUAGGUUUUCUCACUCACCUUAUGAUACUAAUAAUAAUGCAGCAUUUUGAAAAUAAUAGAUAAUAAUGAGUACAUUACAAACAUUUAAUUGAUAAGAAAACUAUUUUAAAAAUAGUUCCAGGACACACAGAUUAAUGUUAAUAGUUUUUAAAUUAAGUUGUGGUAUUGAGGAAACUCUUCAAGUCUUCAGUAUUAAUUUGCAUGGGAAAGGCUCAAUAUUUCUGAUACAAAUCAUAGAGAAUGUUAUUAACUAUAUUAUUACAAAUCAUAAAGAAUAUUAACUAUAUUAUUUACAACAGCAUAAUCUAAAUUACUGUCUUCAUGUAUUGUGAUAUUUGGGAGUGGGGCCGACAUAACAGAUCCAGAGCCUACAUAUAUUAAAAUGAAAAGUAUCAAUAAAGGAGAAAAUUUGUAGCUCAGGAUUAAAAUGAGGAGAUGUCGAUGCACUCUGAGCUUGGCUGUUUUUAAAUCAAACUAGAAUUAAUGAUAUUACCUAGUUUAGGUAAUGAAACAUUUGCAAGAAAACGACCAAGCCCAGAGAGCACCAAGGACACCUCAAAAUGAAUAAUCCUAGGUACAACAGAAAUUUAUUUUAAAAUCAAUGCGUAUAAUAACUUAGAAAUACAAAUAAAUAAUGUAUUAUGGCAAAUCCCAUGAACUUUCAAUGGUUAGUCUAUACAAAAAAGUAAUUCAUUAUAAAGUUUCCCAAUUGAAUGAUUAUGAUAUGCCAUCAAUUAAUCAGUUCUUAGCAACUACAAACGUAUGCAAACAUGUUUGAAGUAGGACAAUUGAAACCUGGUGGAUUACAUUUUAAGUGAAAUUCAUUUAGGGUUUUUUUUAAAAAUGCUAAUAUUCCUUAAAAUGCUAAUUCUGGAAGGCAUUUUAAUCCAUUAGGCUACAGCUACAAAUAUCAAGACUGCCAUUAAGUUGGCCCUGGCACUGCAGAUCUAUUAGAUUCUUGAAUUUUUUAAAAAAAAUUUAACUGCCUGCUGAAGAUGAAUUUGAGCACCUACUAAUUUUGAUGGCAAGAGGCAAUUCAAUUCUUUCCUGGCAUACAUUUUGGGUAUCUGUGAAAAAAGUAGUUAAUGGCCAUAAUGAUCUUUGUUUUGACAUUGCACAGAAACUUUGCAGAAGGUUUGGUUCUUCCUUCCCAUAGAGACUGUGACUGUGUUAUUGAUUUGGAACCAGGGAUUAAACUUCCAACUAAGAGGCAAUAUACAAUAUCAGGAAAGGAACUGGUGAUCUUAAAGCAAUAUCUGAGUUCCAAUUUGGAAAAAGGAUUUAUUAGACUUCCAAAGUCACCAGCUACAACACUACCUUUUUUGUUCCUAAGAAACAAGAGGUGGAUUUUCUGAACCUAAAAAGUGAGGUCCCCUUGUGUACAGUCCACCGUUACAAAGACAAUAACAAGGUCACAAUGAGGGAUCAUUACCUACUAGCUACCAUAUAAAAUAUGGUGGGAAGAUUGCAAAAUGUGAGUAUAUUAAGUUGGACCUCAGAAAAUAUGCAAAUAUGCAAAUUCCUUGACCUUUCAUUUGCAGUUGCCCCCAUCCAUUGAAGAUCCAUCCAGUUUUCCAUUAUUGCAGGUCAGAGAGGCUCCACCAAGACUUCUACAAUUGCAACAGCCAUUGCCCCCUCAAAUGAUUGUUCAAGGUGAAGAGGAAUUCAAAGUCGAAGAAAUAUUGGACUGGAGGAAAUGGGAAUGAAACAAAACAUGAGGAAAAUGUUGGGAAAGUAUCACAAUGAAUGCUACCAACUAAUGUGUGGGGCUCUAUAAAAGAAAUCACUUGAAACUUUAUUUAUUUACACUGCCUUUUUUAUUUCAAUCUAAUACACUUCCUAUUUUCUCAAAAAUGUUCAUUAUUCCUCCUCCUCCCUCCCCUUCUCCCUCCUCCUGCCCCAUAUUAAUUAUGAUAGAAUAAUGGGAAGCAAAUAUUGAAUUUAUUUGAAUUCUGGACUAACAAUAUCUUUGAGGGUGCAUAUUUGAAUAGUAGUGGAAAUGGAAAGUACCAGUCCUGUCACAAGCAAUGUGGCUUUCACUUUUUGUGACCAAUCUUUAAUUUCUUAAUAUAUUUAUAUUGUCUUCAUUUCCCACUAGAUGGUGCAAUAAUCACAUGGACUACAAAACUACACAAUAACUUUAUUUGGAAGAUUCUUUUUGUGGAUAUUUCGUAUUAAAAUAGAGGAAAUUGCCAUGGAAUUAUUGAGGCAUUAGUAAAGAUGUGUUGCUCAGUAUCUACAUUUCCAUCUUAGAUUUUAAAUUGCUAGUUUUUUGUCUCAUUUUCUGUGCUUUAAACAAGUCAGUAGAAAUAGAUUAAAUAUGUUUUUGCUUGUUAAAUGAGAAAAUUAUUAAAUAUUGGGAAAUGGGGCUUUGUUUCAUUUUCUUAUGUUUUGUUAGUAAUGUGAAUGUGUAUCUGAAAACAAUUCUUCUUUCAUUCAUCGUGCAAAGAUCUAUGAGUUAGUCCUAUCCAAUAUGGGUUGAAUCAUCAAUGAAAUAUUUUUGUGUAGCUGUUUAGUUUCUUCAAAUUCCUGAAAUCAUAGAUGCUUUCUAUAAUUAAUACUAUAACAUUUAUAUCAAUUGAUUGCUGUAUAUUGAUCAUAACUAGUAUCUGAAAUCAAUGUAAUAUUUUUUUAAAAAUUGUAUGAAAAAUUAGUGGAAAAAUAUACAGGAGGCUAUAACAUGGCAUGAUUGAAAGCAAAAUCUGCAAAUAACCAUUGUAGAAAAAUGUGGUUGUAUAGAGAUAAAACACAGAAGUGAUAUGAAGGCUUCAAGUAGCCUGGAUAGAGAUUUUAAAAACCACUGCGAUCUCCAGCAGAAUGACAGAUAACUAUUUUGUUGCUUUGUUUUAGCUUAACACAAAGACUAAAUGAUAAAAUACUUGUAAUAUAACUUGCAAUGAAUUCCAAAGAGACUGAUGCCAGCAAAGGUUGUUGAGGUCACAGAUACCCAGAUGUUUGAAGAUCUUUGCUUCUAUAUGACUAAUUGUAUGUGAUAAUCAAUGAGGGAUAUUAUUAACUUUUUUAAUGAAAUUGGAUUGUACCAAAUAUAAGUUUUGAUUUCAUGCUUAUGUUGUUCAAUGAUAUUUUAUCAUUCCUGCCUAUUUGAGGACAAUCUUAAAUAAAACUGUCUCCCUCC